AGAGAUCAUGGCUCAGAAUCAACGCUGGCGGCGUGCCUCAGACAUGCAAGUCGAACGAUUAAAGCUCCCUUCGGGGAGUGCAUAAAGUGGCGCACGGGUGAGUAACACGUAACCAACCUACCCAGUUCUGGGGGAUAGCCCGCCGAAAGGCGGAUUAAUACCGCAUAAGACGAUAGAGUGGCAUCACUUAGUCGUUAAAGAUUUAUUGGAAUUGGAUGGGGUUGCGUGCCAUUAGCUAGUUGGGGGGGUAACGGCCCACCAAGGCGACGAUGGCUAGGGGAGCUGAGAGGCUGGUCCCCCACACGGGCACUGAGAUACGGGCCCGACUCCUACGGGAGGCAGCAGUAGGGAAUAUUGGGCAAUGGGCGAGAGCCUGACCCAGCCAUGCCGCGUGCAGGACGAAGGCUUUCUGAGUCGUAAACUGCUUUUGCCCGGGAAGAAAAAAGGGGAUGCGUCCCCUACUGACGGUACCGGGUGAAUAAGCACCGGCUAACUCCGUGCCAGCAGCCGCGGUAAUACGGAGGGUGCAAGCGUUGUCCGGAUUUUUGGGUUUAAAGGGUGCGUAGGCGGCCGAUUAAGUCUGGGGUGAAAGCCCGUUGCUCAACAACGGAACUGCCCUGGAAACUGGUCGGCUUGAGUACAGACGAGGGCGGCGGAAUGGAGGGGUAGCGGUGAAAUGCAUAGAUACCCUCCAGAACCCCGAUUGCGAAGGCAGCUGCCUAGACUGUAACUGACGCUGAGGCACGAAAGCGUGGGGAGCGAACAGGAUUAGAUACCCUGUUAGUCCACGCCGUAAACGAUGGAUACUCGCUGCCGGCGAUACAAUGUCGGUGGGCUAACCGAAAGCGUUAAGUAUCCCACCCGGGGAGUACGCCC
rnacentral:rRNA from 1 species